GUGCCAGCCGCCGCGGUAAGACGAACCGUGCGAACGUUGUUCGGAAUCACUGGGCUUAAAGGGCGCGUAGGCGGCUUGUCAAGUCAGGGGUGAAAUCCUGCAGCUUAACUGUAGAAGUGCCUUUGAUACUGAUGAGCUCGAGGGAGGUAGGGGUGGGUGGAACUUCUGGUGGAGCGGUGAAAUGCGUUGAUAUCAGAAGGAACGCCGGUGGCGAAAGCGACCCACUGGAUCUCUACUGACGCUGAGGCGCGAAAGCUAGGGGAGCAAACGGGAUUAGAUACCCUUGUAGUCC
rnacentral:rRNA from 1 species